GGUUAACCGAAUAGGGGAGCCGAAGGGAAACCGAGUCUUAACUGGGCGUUAAGUUGCAGGGUAUAGACCCGAAACCCGGUGAUCUAGCCAUGGGCAGGUUGAAGGUUGGGUAACACUAACUGGAGGACCGAACCGACUAAUGUUGAAAAAUUAGCGGAUGACUUGUGGCUGGGGGUGAAAGGCCAAUCAAACCGGGAGAUAGCUGGUUCUCCCCGAAAGCUAUUUAGGUAGCGCCUCGUGAACUCAUCUUCGGGGGUAGAGCACUGUUUCGGCUAGGGGGUCAUCCCGACUUACCAACCCGAUGCAAACUGCGAAUACCGAAGAAUGUUAUCACGGGAGACACACGGCGGGUGCUAACGUCCGUCGUGAAGAGGGAAACAACCCAGACCGCCAGCUAAGGUCCCAAAGUCAUGGUUAAGUGGGAAACGAUGUGGGAAGGCACAGACAGCCAGGAUGUUGGCUUAGAAGCAGCCAUCAUUUAAAGAAAGCGUAAUAGCUCACUGGUCGAGUCGGCCUGCGCGGAAGAUGUAACGGGGCUAAACCAUGCACCGAAGCUGCGGCAGCGACACUAUGUGUUGUUGGGUAGGGGAGCGUUCUGUAAGCCGUUGAAGGUGUGUCGUGAGGCAUGCUGGAGGUAUCAGAAGUGCGAAUGCUGACAUAAGUAACGAUAAUGCGGGUGAAAAACCCGCACGCCGGAAGACCAAGGGUUCCUGUCCAACGUUAAUCGGGGCAGGGUGAGUCGACCCCUAAGGCGAGGCCGAAAGGCGUAGUCGAUGGGAAACAGGUUAAUAUUCCUGUACUUGGUGUUACUGCGAAGGGGGGACGGAGAAGGCUAUGUUAGCCGGGCGACGGUUGUCCCGGUUUAAGCAUGUAGGCGGAGGUUCCAGGUAAAUCCGGUACCUUUUAACGCUGAGGUGUGAUGACGAGGCACUACGGUGCUGAAGUAACAAAUGCCCUGCUUCCAGGAAAAGCCUCUAAGCAUCAGGUAACACGAAAUCGUACCCCAAACCGACACAGGUGGUCAGGUAGAGAAUACCAAGGCGCUUGAGAGAACUCGGGUGAAGGAACUAGGCAAAAUGGUGCCGUAACUUCGGGAGAAGGCACGCUGAUAUGUAGGUGAAGUGAUUUACUCAUGGAGCUGAAAUCAGUCGAAGAUACCAGCUGGCUGCAACUGUUUAUUAAAAACACAGCACUGUGCAAACACGAAAGUGGACGUAUACGGUGUGACGCCUGCCCGGUGCCGGAAGGUUAAUUGAUGGGGUUAUCCGUAAGGAGAAGCUCUUGAUCGAAGCCCCGGUAAACGGCGGCCGUAACUAUAACGGUCCUAAGGUAGCGAAAUUCCUUGUCGGGUAAGUUCCGACCUGCACGAAUGGCGUAAUGAUGGCCAGGCUGUCUCCACCCGAGACUCAGUGAAAUUGAACUCGCUGUGAAGAUGCAGUGUACCCGCGGCAAGACGGAAAGACCCCGUGAACCUUUACUAUAGCUUGACACUGAACACUGGUCCUUGAUGUGUAGGAUAGGUGGGAGGCUUUGAAGUGUGGACGCCAGUCUGCAUGGAGCCAUCCUUGAAAUACCACCCUUUAAUGGCUGGUGUUCUAACGUAGACCCGUAAUCCGGGUUGCGGACAGUGUCUGGUGGGUAGUUUGACUGGGGCGGUCUCCUCCUAAAGAGUAACGGAGGAGCACGAAGGUUAGCUAAUCCUGGUCGGACAUCAGGAGGUUAGUGCAAAGGCAUAAGCUAGCUUGACUGCGAGAGUGACGGCUCGAGCAGGUGCGAAAGCAGGUCUUAGUGAUCCGGUGGUUCUGAAUGGAAGGGCCAUCGCUCAACGGAUAAAAGGUACUCCGGGGAUAACAGGCUGAUACCGCCCAAGAGUUCAUAUCGACGGCGGUGUUUGGCACCUCGAUGUCGGCUCAUCACAUCCUGGGGCUGAAGUAGGUCCCAAGGGUAUGGCUGUUCGCCAUUUAAAGUGGUACGCGAGCUGGGUUUAGAACGUCGUGAGACAGUUCGGUCCCUAUCUGCCGUGGGCGCUGGAGAAUUGAGGGGGGCUGCUCCUAGUACGAGAGGACCGGAGUGGACGCAUCACUGGUGUUCGGGUUGUCAUGCCAAUGGCAUUGCCCGGUAGCUAAAUGCGGAAGAGAUAAGUGCUGAAAGCAUCUAAGCACGAAACUUGCCCCGAGAUGAGUUCUCCCUGACCCUUUAAGGGUCCUGAAGGAACGUUGAAGACGACGACGUUGAUAGGUCGGGUGUGUAAGUGUAGCGAUACAUUGAGCUAACCGAUACUAAUGAACCGUGAGGCUUAACCUU
rnacentral:rRNA from 1 species